rnacentral:lncRNA from 1 species
UUCAAUUGAAUUUGAAAAGAGUAAUUAAAAUGUAUGAGGUGGAUGGUUUCUCUUGCUGGAGAAAUCUCUAAAAAACGAUAUUUAUCAAGUACCAAUAAAGCUGCAUGAGUAUGCAAUAGCUAUAUAGUCAUAAAUUUAAUACUUUCUCCCUCAAUUUGUCCUUCAAACUAUUGUGUUGUCAUAGUCAUUAUACGAUUCGUGAAUAUGAGUUAUCCUGGUCACUUUAGAUUAUCUUUCGUCAUGAUUCUACUACAUGUCAUUGAACCAUUUUUGUAUGCCUGUGAAGGUAUUUAAGAAAAUUAAGUUGAUCAAGGUUUUAUUUUCAUCUUGUACCUCCAUUUACCCUGUCCUACACCCUUGUUAUGGUAGUCUUAAUAUUUUAUCUUUCGGCUGUGUACUUUGAUAGUUUUACAAUUAUAAUUUGUGCUUAUUCUGUUUUUGCAGAUUGGACGAUGAUGAGACUAUUGGAGCAUGUGGUAUUUUUAGAGGGAGUGAGCUAUAUCCUUCUUUUGGCUGUCUAUAUACUAAUAAGGAAUUAUUACACGUUGUAACUUUUGAUAAUGUAAAUAAAAUAUACUUUUAAAUAAAAAGAAUAGUAUGAGAAGAUAUCUUAAACUUAUUUGACUAUGUUGAUCUAGCUUUUCAUCGUUUUACAAUAUGGUGGUGGUCAACAUUCUUAGGCAGAUGCAGAGGACCAGCCUAGACCUGCUUGAUCUUAUACUUCCUGCUUAAAAGGUCAUGUUCUCGUAUUUUUCCACUAUAGUUUUUUAUUUUUUCUGGUACAAGAAAAAGUACUAGUAUUUGAAUAAGAACUUGAGUAAAUAACGAUAAGUGUGAAGUCCAGAUGCAGUUGGGAAAAUUGAUGUAUAAAGCUUGGGCCCGUGUAACAUGCAUGAAACAGGA